UUUAUCGGAGAGUUUGAUCCUGGCUCAGGACGAACGCUGGCGGCGUGCCUAAUACAUGCAAGUCGAGCGGACAGAUGGGAGCUUGCUCCCUAAUGUUAGCGGCGGACGGGUGAGUAACACGUGGGUA
rnacentral:rRNA from 1 species